AACUGCUGUCCAGCGCGCUCCACGCCUGACUGUGAGGGGGAAUCGCUUGGGAGCACCCGUCACAUGCCCAGAGAUUGCCUUCCGAGGCUUUCUGGAGUACCGUGUGCCGUGUGCCGCAGGGAGGCUCAGGGCUCCUCCUUUAUUCUAGCCUGUUUCCAGCAACCCCCAGGGCAACGUCCUGACUCUUCUGUGUGCGUCUGCAGAGCUCUCCUCCUGCGGCUUCCUGCAUCUGCAAGCUUGUUCUGAAGGCCGAGAGGUCUAAGUGCGUCACCGUGUGCAUGGUCCUUUAACCCUUCGUGUCCUGCGCCGGGAUUGAAGCCUGAGAAGGAAGGCAAAUCAAACGGAUACAACAGCUGGCAUAAGCAAUGAUAAUCAUAAAAGAGGACUUCCAGAACUGCUUCAGAAAGUGGCAAAGAAGACGGAGGAGCUUGAAGUGUGUGUUGGGGAUCAGGAAACUGGAGCAAAGGAAGUUAAGUAAGCUGCUCAAGGCCUCACAGCUAAUCAGUGAGUGGCAAAGCCAGGAUUCAAACUCACAAUCUGACUCCAGAGCUGACUUGGAACACUUACGCCAUCUACAGAGUGACUAUGAGCUUUAACGGCAAUGUCAGCCCCCCUUAAAGCCAGCAGCUUCCCCAUCCCUGCCUUGAAGGAAGUCAUGUUCAACUACAAGCACAACAAUUCAAUUUUUAACCUUGUAUCCUUCCCAAUAACUAAAACAUCUUAGGAAGUGAUCUUUCCCUUUAUUGUUCUUUCUCCACACUUUUUUUUUCUCCAAAUUUAAC
rnacentral:lncRNA from 1 species